UACGGAGGGGGCAAGCGUUAUUCGGAAUUAUUGGGCGUAAAGGGCGCGUAGGCGGCUAGAUGUGUCAAAGGUGAAAUCCCUCGGCUCAACUGAGGAACUGCCUUUGAAACUGUCUGGCUUGAGGCCGGGAGAGGGUAGCGGAAUUCCCAGUGUAGCGGUGAAAUGCGUAGAUAUUGGGAGGAAUACCGGUGGCGAAGGCGGCAUCCUGGACCGGCAUUGACGCUGAGGAGCGAAAGCUAGGGGAGCAAACGGG
rnacentral:rRNA from 1 species